rnacentral:tRNA from 1 species
AGGAUAAUAGUUUAACAAAACAUAUAAAUUGCAAUUAUAAGAUAAGCUAAUUAGCUUUUAUCUCA